CUCGCUCUUGCUCUUUCUCUCUUGCUUCUUGCUCUCUUGCUUCCUGCACCCUGGCUCCCAAAGAUGUAAGCAAUAAAGUUUUGCCGCAGAAGAUUCUGGUCUGUUGCGUCUUUCCUGGCCGGGCGUGAGAACACGUUAAUAACAAUUGGUGCCGAAUUCCGGGACGAGAAAAAACUCGGGACUGGCGCAAGGAAGAUCCCUCAUUCCAGAACCAGAACUGCGGGUCGCGGUAAUAAAGGUUCCCGUAAAGCAGACUGUUAAGAAGGAUUCAACUGUAUGAAUUCAGAACUUUUCAGCUGGGGAACGAGAGUACCAGUGAGUACAGCUUUACGAGGUAAGUCUGAUCUUGAACUUUCUAAGGAAAUUCAAGACAGUCUAUCAGAAGUAAAGUGGAAUAUGUUUGGCCUUGAAUUUUUUCUGGUGUUAGGAGCCCUUUUGUUCCUUUUCACAUGUUAUCAAGUGAUUAAGAUAGGGCAUUCUAGAGGAAAUUCAGGGCAAUCUAUCAGAAGUAAAGCGGGGAGAGAGAGUAGGAGCAAAGAGAAAAUAUGGUACACAAAAUAAGUAUACAGGCCUUUCCAAGGGUCUUGAACCCGAGGAAAAGUUUAGGUCAGGUAAGAAUACCUGGGGAGAGAUUAGAAGGAAAAAAGAAAAGAAAAAAGAUCGAUUAGCGGAGGUCUCUAGGAGAUGAGCUCAGGAAGCCAGCUCUUAGUAGUUCUGAAGCAGAUGAAGAAUUCUCCUCUGAGGAAACAGACUGGGAGGAAGAAGCAGCCCAUUACCAGCCAGCUAAUUGGUCAAGAAAAAAGCCAAAAGCGGCUGGCGAAAGCCAGCGUACUGUUCAACCUCCCGGCAGUCGGUUUCAAGGUCCGCCCUAUGCGGAGCCCCCGCCCUGCGUAGUGCGUCAGCAAUGCGCAGAGAGGCAGUGCGCAGAGAGGCAGUGCGCAGACUCAUUCAUUCCCAGAGAGGAACAAAGGAAAAUACAACAGGCAUUUCCGGUCUUUGAAGGAGCCUAGGGUGGGCGUGUCCACGCUCCGGUAGAAUACUUACAAAUUAAAGAAAUUGCCGAGUCGGUCCGUAAAUACGGAACCAAUGCUAAUUUUACCUUGGUGCAGUUAGACAGGCUUGCCGGCAUGGCACUAACUCCUGCCGACUGGCAAACGGUUGUAAAAGCCGCUCUCCCUAGUAUGGGCAAAUAUAUGGAAUGGAGAGCGCUUUGGCACGAAGCUGCACAAGCGCAGGCCCGAGCAAACGCAGCUGCUUUGACUCCAGAGCAGAGAGAUUGGACUUUUGACUUGUUAACGGGUCAGGGAGCUUAUUCUGCUGAUCAAACAAACUACCAUUGGGGAGCUUAUGCCCAGAUUUCUUCCACGGCUAUUAGGGCCUGGAAGGCGCUCUCCCGAGCAGGUGAAACCACUGGUCAAUUAACAAAUCCAGGGACCUCAGGAAUCCUUCUCAGAUUUUGUGGCCAGAAUGACAGAGGCAGCAGAGCGUAUUUUUGGAGAUUCAGAGCAAGCUGCGCCUCUGAUAGAACAGCUAAUCUAUGAGCAAGCCACAAAGGAGUGCCGAGCGGCCAUAGCCCCAAGAAAGAACAAAGGCUUACAAGACUGGCUCAGGGUCUGUCGAGAGCUUGGGGGACCUCUCACCAAUGCAGGCUUAGCGGCCGCCAUCCUUCAAUCUCAGAACCGCUCCAUGGGCAGAAAUAAUCAGAGGACAUGUUUUAACUGCGGAAAGCCUGGGCAUUUU
rnacentral:lncRNA from 1 species